UGGAUCCAGACUUUGAUCAUGGCUCAGGAUGAACGCUAGCUACAGGCUUAACACAUGCAAGUCGAGGGGCAGCAUGAACUUAGCUUGCUAAGUUUGAUGGCGACCGGCGCACGGGUGAGUAACACGUAUCCAACCUUCCGUUUACUCAGGGAUAGCCUUUCGAAAGAAAGGUUAAUACCUGAUAGUAUGGUGAGAUUGCAUGAUAACACCAUUAAAGAUUUAUUGGUAAACGAUGGGGAUGCGUUCCAUUAGGUAGUAGGCGGGGCAACGGCCCACCUAGCCUGCGAUGGAUAGGGGUUCUGAGAGGAAGGUCCCCCACAUUGGAACUGAGACACGGUCCAAACUCCUACGGGAGGCAGCAGUGAGGAAUAUUGGUCAAUGGGCGAGAGCCUGAACCAGCCAAGUAGCGUGAAGGAUGAAGGUCCUACGGAUUGUAAACUUCUUUUAUACGGGAAUAAAGUUUCCUACGUGUAGGAUUUUGUAUGUACCGUAUGAAUAAGCAUCGGCUAACUCCGUGCCAGCAGCCGCGGUAAUACGGAGGAUGCGAGCGUUAUCCGGAUUUAUUGGGUUUAAAGGGAGCGCAGACGGGAGAUUAAGUCAGUUGUGAAAGUUUGCGGCUCAACCGUAAAAUUGCAGUUGAUACUGGUUUCCUUGAGUGCAGUUGAGGCAGGCGGAAUUCGUGGUGUAGCGGUGAAAUGCUUAGAUAUCACGAAGAACCCCGAUUGCGAAGGCAGCUUGCUAAACUGUAACUGACGUUCAUGCUCGAAAGUGUGGGUAUCAAACAGGAUUAGAUACCCUGGUAGUCCACACGGUAAACGAUGGAUACUCGCUGUUGGCGAUAUACUGUCAGCGGCCAAGCGAAAGCAUUAAGUAUCCCACCUGGGGAGUACGCCGGCAACGGUGCAACUCAAAUGAAUUGACGGA
rnacentral:rRNA from 1 species